UGACRUUACCUGCAGAAGAAGCCCCGGCUAACUUCGUGCCAGCAGCCGCGGUAAUACGAAGGGGGCUAGCGUUGUUCGGAAUCACUGGGCGUAAAGCGCACGUAGGCGGACUGAUCAGUUGGGGGUGAAAUCCCGGGGCUCAACCCCGGAACUGCCUCUGAUACUGUCAGUCUAGAGAUCGAGAGAGGUGAGUGGAAACUCCGAGUGUAGAGGUGAAAUUCGUAGAUAUUCGGAACGAACACCAGUGGCGAAGGCGGCUCACCUGGCUCGAUAC
rnacentral:rRNA from 1 species